AUUCAGACUCUGUUUCUAUUGAGAGAUAAAAGUUCUCUAAAAUGAUUCUCUUUGGGGAGAGAGAGGAGGGGGGCCCUGCCUCUAAAAUGAGACUCUCUGGGGAGAGAGUGGAGGCAGGACCUGACACCAAAGCUAAGAGUCCAAUCCAGCAGGAGAGACCAGCCUCCCUGUUCCCAGCUGUGUGUCCAUGAAGCGUAACCGGUCUAUUCGUCUACCUAUACUGUUUAGAGAGGGAGACUUUUCUACUGAAUAAAGGUUCACAGCCAGACAACCAUCAGGGUACGGCAGCCAUGGAAAACUCAAAGGACACUGGAUCUGGGAAAGAACCAAUAUCUGAAUCCAUAAAAAGGGGAAAACUGACACACACACAGGACUUUGCUUUAGCUCCCACCUCUACUUCACUGUGUUAUAAUGGACCUUAUGCUUGUUAUGUCACCUCUGUAACCAGGUAUCAAACAUACUGACCUUUCUGACCCUGUCCCAUGGCCCUACUUUCUAGAACUGAACAUUUAAAUUCCUCUGAGCUUUGCUUACUGUCCAUUUACUCAUUUAUUGAUUUAUUUGUUGUAUAUUGGGGUUGUGCCGCAGAGCAUCAUGGGGGUUUGUAUGUGUUGAGAUGAUCCCGUUCCAGAUAAAUGGUUUAACUGA